UUCAGUCUGGAUGAGACUUGGGUUGUCUCACGUUUAUUUUGUUUUUUUUUUUUUCUUUCUCCUUCUUUAUCAAAAGGAGGUACCGGAAGUGAACUAGGUACCUUGCAGGUGCUCCGCAGAGCUCGGCCCCCACCCCAGCACGUUUAUUUUUGAUUUGUCAACAGUGCUGUUAUUUUCUUUUUUGUCUCCAAGUGUAAAUGCAUCAUAAAUAUUUCACAUCUAGGAGAACUGGGAUUGUAGAUUAUGGGUAAGUUAAAAAUACCAGAAAGUGGAGGGCUGCAGCCGAGUGUUUAUUCCGUGUCAUUUCCAGCAACUUAGUCUCCAGCUUAGAUUGUCCAUCCUUUGUGUCCAUUAUGUAUGAAGUAGAUCUCCCUGUGAUUGUAUAUUGGGUGUUACUGAUAACUGUUGUGUUGAGCAUUUCUUACCAAGUGGUGGUUCAUCUUCUGUGAAAUAGUUUUCAGUUGUUUUCUCACCUUUAAUUCAUGUGUGUGUUUACUGAUUUCUUACGUUUUAUUUACAUACUCUGGGCUUUCAUCUUUUUCAUUUCUAGGUAUGCAAAUAUGUUCUCCCAGAUUGUGGGUUAUCAUUUUUUAUUGCACACAUUUGUGGACAAGUCUUAACUUGAACAGGCUUGAAUUGAACUUACCCAUCUCUUCCUCUAUAGCUGAUUUUUCCUUUUCUUAUGUAAGAAAACUCCCCCAAAUCUCAAGUUACAAACGCAUUUCUCUGUAACUUCUCAGUGUCCCACUUUCUUCUUUCACAGUUAAGUCCACAGUGAAUUGGUUAUUGUGCAUGCAAUUGACAAGGAAAAAGGUUUCUUACUCCCCUGUAGAUACUCACUGAUCAGUGCUCACUGCCCCCACAUGUUAGACUGUCAUCACCUGGCCCUGCCCAGCAGCAUGUGCUCUGAAUAGAUCCACAUAGAUCCACGUGCCAAAAACAGGUGGCCUGUUUCAGUGCCCACCUGUUUUUGUGAUUUUUUUUUUCCAUCGGUGUAUUUAUCUAUCCUUCUGUUAAAAUCAUCCAGUCCUAGUCACUGCAGUUUUAAAAGUUUCAUGUCCUUUCGGGAAAAUCUCACCUCCUUGAUCCAUAGAAAACCUUGGCUAUUCUUAGAAAUUUGUGUUCCAUUUGUUUUUAGAAGUAGCUUUUCUCAAGUCAAACAAAACAGAAUGAACCAUCCCCUACGGAAACCAGGUUGUAUGUUGAAAGGACAGAAUCAUAGAAUUCUUAAGUGUUUGGGAGAAGCUGAUCCCAUGGUCUCUUUUCUGUGGAGGUACCUCCUCUCUCCAUUCAUUUCCUUGUCCUGCUUUUGCUGUUCAAGAAUAUUUUGGAACUUAUCCAUUAAAAAUUUUUAUAUUUUUAUAGACAUAAUUUAGAAAUAAAAUUAGUUUUAAUGGCAACUAGGCUGUUUUUGGUUUGGGGGGGCUUUUUCCCUGUGGUGUCUGAGCCUGGCGCUGUGGUAGGUGGCCAUCCCCAGCGCCCUCCGGCUGUCUUACCCUUCUUCCCAGGGUGCCACAGACGGCGGGGCUACUGGGGUGCUGGGGGUGGCGCUGGGGGGGUGAGGAGGGGCCCUUCUUAACACAUUUCCUAAACUGCACCCCGCCAGCUCCCUGGGUCCUCUCACCCUGCUCUGUUUUUGCACCUCAUUAAUCUAACAUAAGCAGAUAACUUACUUAUUAGUUGUUUGUUGCCUGUCUUCCCACUGGGGCGGGCCCUGGCGUGUGGCGGGGCCUGCGGCGCCAUCGCUCCUCCCCAGGAAACCUCUGUUAAGGCGGCUCUGGAGUCCGCAUUUCCACCCUGUAGCACUGCAAGGGAACCGACUGGGUUCCAGAAGCUUUCAUCCCCUGUGGAAACAGUGUCAUGCCUUGAGUUCUGCACACAUUGCGCCCUUGACAGUUGGUCUGUAGUGUCUCCUCAACCUGCUGAAUCUCUAAAACAUCCAUAGUUUUGUUCCUUAUGCAAUUCAUGUUGUUUUUUAUUUGCCCAGGUUCUGCUGCUUUUGGAUAAAGUUGCCAUUGGAGUUUGAAGAUUUUUUUAUCUAGUGUGAGUCUGUUUUUUAAACAGCUUUAAUUGAGGUACAAUUUUAUACUGUAAAGUUUCCUGGUUUAAAGUAGAAAAUUCAAAGGUGUUAGUUUAUUUACUGAGUUUUGCAGCCAUCCCAGAUUCUAAUUUUAGACAAUUUUUUUUAUCACCCAGAAGGAACACUCGUAUCUGCUGGCAGCCACCCCCCGGCCCAGGCCCGCAGCCUGCCUUGGUGCAGGCAGUUUAUUAAUCGCCUUUCCCACUUGAUAGGUUUGCUCACGCUCCACCUUUCACCUAAAUGACGCGGUACUGCCUGUCUGCUUUUGUGAGUCCUGCUAAUGUUUUCAGAGUUCAUUGAUUUUGUGCCUCGGGCCAGUACUUCGCUCCUCUUGUUGCCCGGGACACUCCAUGUGAGAUCACAGCACGUGCUUCUCCAGGUAGACAGAGGCCCAGCGCGGGAUUGCUGUGUCGUAUUUAACUCAUUUUGAGGAACAUGCUGGACUGUCUUCCAAAGUGGCGUCACCAUUGUGCCUUCCUGCCACAACUGUGUGAGGGGUCCCACUUCCUCACAUCCUCGCCAGCACUUGUCUGUCUGUCUGUCUUAUAUCCACCCGUGCGAGGUGGCGUGAAGAAGCACCUGCCUGUAGGUUUGAUGUGCAUUCCCCUGAUGACUAAUGCCCCAUAUUUUCAUGAGCGUCCUGGCCAUUUGUCCUUAUUACUUGGAGAAAUGUAUGCUCAUGCUCUUUGCCCCUCAUUCAAUUGUACUGUCUUCUGUUCUCCCUGAUUUGUAAUUACUAUCCUGAUUUUUUAAUGUAUUUAGAAUACAGGGAUCUUGUCAGGAGUGGGGUUAGCCAACCCCAGAUGCAGCCUUGCCUUUUUUGUAGCUGACAUAGUGGGGAUUUUUUUAAAUUUACAUUUUCAAACAUAUUUUUGAUUAAACUUCGAAUUUUUAAAAGUAA